rnacentral:rRNA from 1 species
GACGAACGCUGGCGGCGGGCUUAACACAUGCAAGUCGAACGAACGCCUUCGGGCGUUAGUGGCGCACGGGUGAGUAACACGUAGGCAAUCUACCCUCGGCUGGGGAAUAACCAGGGGAAACCCUGGCUAAUACCGCAUAACAUCUGGACGUCGCCUGGCGACCAGAUCAAAGCUUUAUGUGGCCGAGGAUGAGCCUGCGUCGGAUUAGCUAGUUGGUGGGGUAACGCCUACCAAGGCGACGAUCCGUAGCGGGUCUGAGAGGAUGAUCCGCCACACUGGCACUGAGACACGGGCCAGACUCCUACGGGAGGCAGCAGUGAGGAAUAUUGCGCAAUGGACGAAAGUCUGACGCAGCCACGCCGCGUGCAGGAAGACC